rnacentral:rRNA from 1 species
UACGUAGGGUGCGAGCGUUAAUCGGAAUUACUGGGCGUAAAGCGUGCGCAGGCGGUGAUGUAAGACAGGUGUGAAAUCCCCAGGCUUAACCUGGGAACUGCGUCGGAUACUGGAUGGCUUGAAUUCGGGAGAGGGAUGCAGAAUUCCAGGUGUAGCGGUGAAAUGCGUAGAUAUCUGGAGGAAUACCGGUGGCGAAGGCGGCAUCCUGGACCGACAUUGACGCUGAACGGCGAAAGCUAGGGGAGCAAACGGG